AGGUUGGGCUGGCUGGCACUACAGUCCUUAGUCUUGUAGUUAUCGUCUAGCUGUGGUGGCUGUAUGCUGUGUGUAGCUCGUGCGGUAGUGUAAUUAGUACGCUCCAGUCGAUCCAUACAGUUGGAUCAGUCUUCUGCCAGCGACGGCAACAUAUUUUUUAAGUCGACAAGGACAGCAGGAAAUCAGUGUGCAGCCAGAGCGCAUUGGGCAUUAUGGUGCCCCCUCGAAAGCGGCUGCUGUUCGCCGCUGUAA